CUGACUCUUCUUCCUCCAAGAUCUUGGCUCAGGCCUGAACCUGUGCACCGGGCUGAAACAUGAAGGCUACCAGAGAUGCCUGAGUCCUCGUGGAAGGAGUGUCUUUCACACUGUACCAGCAGAUGGAGAUAAAUGCCAAAAGGGAUGCAGAAGCUCAUUACUCCAACAAAGAGCCACCCAUGGGCCACCCAUGUUCACAUAGAAUUCUGCUUCCCAGCACAAGCACAGCCUGACCAAAGUGGCCAAAGACACCAGAAAUUACACUGCUGUGAAGACCCACCACAGCCCCAUAGGCAAGUCCUGUCACAAAGCCCAGAAACCCUCCUGUGCUCUUCUGGGAGAUCCCACAGCUCCUGUGUCUCUCCCGUCACUCCUGGGACCAUGGAAGCAAGUGUCACUUUGCCUCCCCCAAAAGGUGGGCAUAGUGGUGCUCAGGAAGUACUCAUAGGCUCACAGAAGAAGGAACUACUCAGCCGGAUGCAAAAGCAGCCCUUUGCAUUCUUCUCCAUUCCAGUAUUGACCUGGGAAGGUCAAAGCUACCAUUUGGCCCAUCCUUCCUCACCCCAGCCAACUGCACAUCGUGAAUGAUGAACAGCAUAUGCACACAGCAUGUGGGCCAGGGACAGUUUUGGUUAUGAAAGCCAAAGGCACUCUAGGUUAAAGCUUCAACAAGGAGGGAAUCUGUGGGAAGCAAGUAACCCACAGGACGCAAGCCCAUUUCUUUAGACAGAAGAGGCCAAGCCAGGCCAGAGAAGACUCCUCCGCGCUGCCUUUUCCUCAGCAGAAGAUCCUCACAUCAUGCCACAAUACUUGGUUUUAGUCUGUUCCCAUAGCUUUGCUACUGUGCCAUUUUCCAGCUCAUCUGACUCCCCCUGACCCCCCAUCAAUCAUCUGUUCUGGAGGCUUUGUGCCAAGUUUUCAGAGAUCCAUAGUAAUUAAAUUUAAAUUAAAAAUCACUCAGAUGCUACCUUUUUGCUAAGGUGGUUAUGACAGAAAUGAAAUGAACCAAGAGGCAGAGAGCAGCAAAAGUUGCUCUGUACAUCUGAACCUUUCUAACAUGCCCUGCUGGCUCCCAGCUUGUUAGCUCUGGAGCCUGGGAAGAAGUCUCCUUUCUCCAUAGGUACAAAACCCUCUGAGCAAACCAAACUAAGCACUAUGCAAAUAUGGCUGUCAAGGUCACAGUGGAGGAAAACAUCCAGACCAAUGGCAAUUAAUAAACCGUUCCUCAAAUGCAA